UGGGGAAUAUUGGACAAUGGGCGAAAGCCUGAUCCAGCCAUGCCGCGUGUGUGAAGAAGGUCUUCGGAUUGUAAAGCACUUUAAGUUGGGAGGAAGGGCAGUAAGCGAAUACCUUGCUGUUUUGACGUUACCGACAGAAUAAGCACCGGCUAACUCUGCGCCAGCAGCCGCGGUAAUACAGAGGGUGCAAGCGUUAAUCGGAAUUACUGGGCGUAAAGCGCGCGUAGGUGGUUCGUUAAGUUGGAUGUGAAAGCCCCGGGCUCAACCUGGGAACUGCAUCCAAAACUGGCGAGCUAGAGUAGGGCAGAGGGUGGUGGAAUUUCCUGUGUAGCGGUGAAAUGCGUAGAUAUAGGAAGGAACACCAGUGGCGAAGGCGACCACCUGGGCUCAUACUGACACUGAGGUGCGAAAGCGUGGGGAGCAAACAGG
rnacentral:rRNA from 1 species